CUGACUAUAGAGUGUGUAUAGAGUAUAGAUUCGUGGAGGCAGUGCCAUCUUGGGAAAAGUGGGGCUUUUCUUCCCAAAGCUUCUUGGCAGCCCUUGAAGACGGGUCUUCCGUGAUGUACUCACUUUAUUUUCUGACAGAUCUUACAUGGCUGACCUUUUUUUACAUAUCAAAACUAGCCUUCAGGCACCCUGGGGUGCUGCCAGCUUCAGGGACUCGAUUGGCGUCCACACUCUUGACUGGAUGGUCUUGAGCACGUGCGGGUCUUCCCAUGUGUGUGCCGCCUGCGUCCCCGCCCCGCUCUGGGGUUACCACUUACGCACGACGCCAGUCUCCCUGAAAAGGCGGUAGUCUCGUCGUCGAGUCUCUCCGUGUUUGACAGGAAGUCAUCCCUGUGCUGUCUCCUCAUGUGUAACAGGUGAUGCCCCGCAGCCUGUCCCUCCCUGCAUGGCUUCCUGGAAGGGGCGCUAAUUUCAAGUAAGGGGCAGUGGGUCCGCAUCUGCCGGCGGGGCCCAGCUGAAUGGGGCCAGCCCACACAGCGCGCAUCCCCCUCUUGGUGUCGCCAGCAUCCUCACUCCGUACCCCUUCCGUCCUUAGGCCUGCUGUCUGGGACGUGCCGGAAGCUAGCACCUUAGUCAGGUACUCGAAUGGAGGUUGUCCAUGGUGUGUUCAUUUUAUUUAUGAUGAGUAUUACAUGGCCAAUCUCCUUUCAGUACUAAAUUCUUCUUGGGAAAAACUCCACAAGGGCACGUUUCAUCUGGUGCCUGUCCACGGUAAGGAAACGGAGUGUGUACCCCAUGACAAGUGCUUUAUGUGUGACAAUGUCACCCGGCCCAGAAUUCCCAGGAAUGAUGCUGACCUUGUAGGGGAGACAGUGGUUUUCUGGUCACUGUUAACCCCUCCUUCCCUGGAGACUCACUAGUGAAGAAAGCUUAUUUGGUAAGCCUCUGUCCUGUAUGAAGUCAUCUUGGACAUGGGACACAUUCUAGGGGAGGGGACCUUUGCGCUAUGCCAACAGCCUGGCUGAGUGGAGGGCACACACUUUACCUAUGCAUUGUGUUAGGAUGCCUUCAAGUGUCCUAGUCCUCAGGGUGCAAAGCCCACCCUGGGGAGGUGGGGCUGGGGGUGGGGAUUUCUUGGGUCCUGAGAAUCGAGGUAUUUGAAGACAGGUUUCCACGGCAUGAUUUGUUUUUUCCUGGUGCAAGAUAAGAAUCAUUCAUAGCAUGUAUGAUUUACCUUAUGUUUACGAGCUUUGGGAUCUUGGGCAAGUUACUUAGGCGAUCACCUCUGUGCCUCAGUUUACCCAUCUGUAAAACGGAGACAAUGCCUGCUCAUAGAGUAGGUAUAAAACCUCAAUACGUGUGCAGAGUGUUUGGACAGUGCUUGAAAUGUAGUGCAGUUGAAAAAGAAUUGGCUCUUGGGAUGACCAUUAUUACUAUGUUGCUGUUCUAUCAUAGACCUUCCUUUAUCAUUCUCUUGCCCACCAGAGUGCGAGCUCCCUGGGGGUUUUGCUUACUGCUGUGUUCCUCAGUGCACAUGGUAGAUGUGAUGUUGGAUGAAUGGAUAGUGGCUGGUUGACACAUUUUCUUUAUCAAGUGGCUCUCCGAGGCCCUCCUGGAGGAAGAGGGAAUGAAGGACAGCAGCAAGCCUCUGCUUUCCCGAUGACGCGGCCGGUUCGCCCUCGCCAUGCCGGCUCCCCCACUCCAAGAGGAGUCCCCAGUCUUCAGGGCCUGCCCAGCGGAGGCGCCAGCUUUGGGAUGGGACCUGGGUGUCUGUGCCUCUCGAGGAUCAAGCCCUGCCUUGGAGGAUUCCCAGAAGCCACAGCACCCUCAGGAGGUGGCCAGCGGCUGGAGCCCUCGCCAGGGUAGGUGCAUGGGUGCAGCCCCAGGACAUGCCCUGAGUGUGUUGGUGAUGUAUGUCAUCUGGUCCAGUAGCCGCUGCCGCCCAGCCCAUUCUCACGAGCCCGUCAGGAGGUGAUGUCAGCUCUGGGAAAGCAUCUCUGAGCCGCAGGUCAGUAUCUAUGGACAGGGACGCUUCCAUAUUGCGUUUUCUUUCUUCAGGACAGACCUCGGGUGGCCGGUUCCUUGCUGCAAUGGUAGCAAGACCCAAGGGCUUUCUGAACUCGUGCCAACAUCAGGGAAAGGAUUCUGCUGUCGGUCCCACUCCAAAGUUCGCAAAAUGGGUGGUGGGCACAGAAUCCAGACUCUGCUUGUCGCAUAGGUCAUCUGCUCCCUGGCCCUCUCUGGCCAGUCCAUUAUUUGGGGGCAUAUUCUGGAUCUGAUGUCAACUCUGUGAAGAACCAGGGUUCUGAUAUCAGAGCUGCUUUGCCUUUUUUUUGAAGAGAGAUUAUGUUUGGCUCAUUUGCUUUUUUCUCCCCCCACUCCUCCUAGCCUUUAUUUUUGGUGUUUUGCUUGCUUUGCUUGUGAGGCUAAUCAAAUGAUCAACCAGGUUUUUUUUGUAUUAAAUCGCCCUUUGGAGGACGCUGCGGGGGGGUGACGCCUAUACGGGGCUGGAGGUGGUGUUGGGGGCACCUCGGGGAGCGCAGUGCUGGCCGUUAGCACCAUGCACACACGCAGUGCCCCCUGGAGGGAGGCUUUGUGCUGGCGCGGGGCCUGGGGUCACCCUCUCCGGGGUCUGGGAAAGAGGAGCUGAGGGCAGGCAGGGUGGUAUCUUCGUCAGCUGUGCGUCAGACCCAUCGGCAGAUAGCCCCCGUGUAGGACAGUCGGGCAGAAGGGCGCCUCAGAUGCCCGUCAGCUCGCCUGGGGAGCCCUCUAGGGUGGUGCGCCCAAGCAAGGGCACCCUCUUGCCAGCCUGAGAUCCCCCCACGCCCCACGGCCCUCGUAUUCACUUCGGGGAAUGGUCUCUGGAUCUGGCUCAUUCUGGGAGGGGAUGGAAUGGUUGGCCUCAACGGCUGGCGGGGGCAGGG